UACGUAGGGUCCGAGCGUUGUCCGGAAUUAUUGGGCGUAAAGGGCUCGUAGGCGGUUUGUCGCGUCGGGAGUGAAAACUCAGGGCUCAACCCUGAGCGUGCUUCCGAUACGGGCAGACUAGAGGUAUGCAGGGGAGAACGGAAUUCCUGGUGUAGCGGUGGAAUGCGCAGAUAUCAGGAGGAACACCGGUGGCGAAGGCGGUUCUCUGGGCCGUAACUGACGCUGAGGAGCGAAAGCGUGGGGAGCGAACAGG
rnacentral:rRNA from 1 species